UGGAUCUACGACCCACAUUCCAGGUCUACAGC
rnacentral:piRNA from 1 species